ACUCAGCUCCACCUCCUGUGGUGCCACCCUGGGACUUCCUUUUCCUAUCUGCAAACUGCCGGUAUCUCCUGCACUGCUAACUUCCUCUUCUGACUCUCCCCGUGGCUCUUCAGACUCAAUCUCCAACUCCGCUCCUAAAGGAUAUUGAGGUGGAGCUUCCUGGUUCAGACGCUGCUGCCCCCAUUGUGAUCUGAGAGCCCAGGCUGAGUAGCUGCUGCUCCCCCAGCGGGAUCGGGGCUGGGGAGUGACCAUGAGUAAAGCUUCCUCUGCGUUCAGCCAAGGCUGCAGUGUUACAUACCAUCCUUCCAGGGACCAGGGAAGGGAAAUGGCUGCCGUGGAGCCAGUUCCGGUAGGGAUUAUAGGGGAGUUGCUGGUGGGCUCCUGUUGGCGGGAGAAGGGCAGUAAAGACAU